rnacentral:rRNA from 1 species
UACGUAGGGUGCAAGCGUUAAUCGGAAUUACUGGGCGUAAAGCGAGCGUAGUCGGUUAUUUAAGUCGGAUGUGAAAUCCCCGGGCUCAACCUGGGAAUUGCAUUCGAUACUGGAUAGCUAGAGUUCGGCAGAGGGAAGCGGAAUUUCGGGUGUAGCGGUGAAAUGCGUAGAUAUCCGAAGGAACAUCAGUGGCGAAAGCGGCUUCCUGGACCAGAACUGACGAUCAGGCUCGAAAGCGUGGGGAGCAAACAGG